rnacentral:tRNA from 1 species
GUCCCUGGAGGCAUACAUGUUUAAGCACUUGGCUACUAAUUGAAAGGUCGGUGGUUCAAAUCCACCCAGAGACA